CAGCAGCCGCGGGAAAACGAAGGGUGCAAGCGUUACUCGGAAUUACUGGGCGUAAAGCGUGCGUAGGUGGUGGUUUAAGUCCGUUGUGAAAGCCCUGGGCUCAACCUGGGAAUUGCAGUGGAUACUGGGUCACUAGAGUGUGGUAGAGGAUAGUGGAAUUUCCGGUGUAGCAGUGAAAUGCGUAGAGAUCGGAAGGAACAUCUGUGGCGAAGGCGACUAUCUGGGCCAACACUGACACUGAGGCACGAAAGCGUGGGGAGCAAACAGGAUUAGAUACCCCUGUAGUCCCUGUCUCUUAUAA
rnacentral:rRNA from 1 species